rnacentral:rRNA from 1 species
AUUGAACGCUGGCGGUAUGCUUAACACAUGCAAGUCGAACGAGUGGCGGACGGGUGAGUAAUGCAUAGGAAUCUACCUUUUAGUCUAGGAUAACUACCCGAAAGGGUGGCUAAUACUGGAUGCUCAGAGAGGAUCCUAUGUGGUAUUAGCUAGUUGGUGGGGUCAUGGCUCACCAAGGCGACGCUCUCUAGCGGGUUUGAGAGGAUGAUCAGCCACACUGGGACUGGGAAACGGCCCAGAAUGCUACGGGAGGCAGCAGUGGGGAAUAUUGGACAAUGGGCGGAAGCCUGAUCCAGCAAUACCGCGGGUGUGAAGAAGGCCCUAGGGUUGGAAAGCACUUUUGUUAGGGAGAUGUUACCUAAAGAAUAAGCACCGGCUAACUCCGUGCCAGCCGCCGCGGUAAUAC